rnacentral:rRNA from 1 species
UACGGAGGGUGCAAGCGUUAAUCGGAAUUACUGGGCGUAAAGCGCACGCAGGUGGCUGAGUCAGUCGAUUGUGAAAGCCCAGAGCUCAACUCUGGAAUUGCCUUUGAAACUAGAGAACUUGGGUACGGGAGAGGUGAGUGGAAUUCCGAGUGUAGAGGUGAAAUUCGUAGAUAUUCGGAAGAACACCAGUGGCGAAGGCGGCUCACUGGCCCGUUACCGACGCUCAGGCGCGACAGCGUGGGGAGCAAACAGG